UGUUAGACAUGCAAGUCGCACGGGAUUGGUUGAGUAGUAAUACAAUGCCAGUCUAGUGGCGCACGGGUGAGUAACAUGUGAAUUACAUGCCCUUCAGUGGGGAAUAGCCCAGGGAAACUUGGAUUAAUACCCCAUGGUAUCGCAAGAUUAAAGGUGGCCAGCAAUGGCUGUCGCUGAAGGAUUGGUUCGCACCCUAUCAGCUUGUUGGUGAGGUAAUGGCUCACCAAGGCUACGACGGGUACCUGGUCUGAGAGGACGAUCAGGCACACUGGAACUGAAACACGGUCCAAACACCUACGGGUGGCAGCAGUCGAAAAUAAUUCACAAUGGGGGCAACCCUGAUGGUGCAACGCCGCGUGGAGGAUGAAGGUCUUCGGAUUGUAAACUCCUGUCAUCUGGGAGUAAGGCAUGGUUGUUAACAGCAAACAUGAUUGAUAGUACCAAAAGAGGAAGGGACGGCUAACUUCGUGCCAGCAGCCGCGGUAAUACGAAGGUCCCAAGCGUUGUUCGGAAUCACUGGGCGUAAAGGGAGCGUAGGCGGCGUGGUAAGUCAGAUGUGAAAUCCCGGGGCUCAACCCCGGAACUGCAUCCGAUACUGCCAUGCUAGAGGAUUGGAGAGGUAGCUGGAAUUCUUGGUGUAGCAGUGAAAUGCGUAGAGAUCAAGAGGAACACUCGUGGCGAAAGCGAGCUACUGGACAAUUCCUGACGCUGAGGCUCGAA
rnacentral:rRNA from 1 species